rnacentral:rRNA from 1 species
CUGCGAAUGGCUCAUUAUAUAAGUUAUCGUUUAUUUGAUAGUACCUUACUACUUGGAUAACCGUGGUAAUUCUAGAGCUAAUACAUGCUAAAAAUCCCGACUUCGGAAGGGAUGUAUUUAUUAGAUACAAAACCAAUGCCCCUCGGGGCUCUCUGGUGAUUCAUGAUAACUCGUCGAAUCGCACGGCCUUGCGCCGGCGAUGGUUCAUUCAAAUUUCUUCCCUAUCAACUUUCGAUGUUUGGGUAGUGGCCAAACAUGGUGGCAACGGGUAACGGAGGGUUAGGGCUCGACCCCGGAGAAGGAGCCUGAGAAACGGCUACUACAUCCAAGGAAGGCAGCAGGCGCGCAAAUUACCCAAUCCCGAUACGGGGAGGUAGUGACAAUAAAUACUGAUACAGGGCUCUUUUGGGUCUUGUAAUUGGAAUGAGUACAAUUUAAAUCCCUUAACGAGGAACAAUUGGAGGGCAAGUCUGGUGCCAGCAGCCGCGGUAAUUCCAGCUCCAAUAGCGUAUAUUAAAGUUGUUGUGGUUAAAAAGCUCGUAGUUGAAUCUUGGGCCUGGCUGGCCGGUCCGCCUCACCGCGUGUACUGGUCCGGCCGGGUCUUUCACUCUGCGGAACCACAUGCCCUUCAGUGGGUGUGGCGGGGAAGCAGGACGUUUACUUUGAAAAAAUUAGAGUGCUCUAAGCAGGCCAAUGCUCGGAUACAUUAGCAUGGAAUAAUAAAAUAGGACGCGCGGUUCUAUUUUGUUGGUUUCUAGGACCGCCGUAAUGAUGAAUAGGGACAGUCGGGGGCAUCAGUAUUCAGUUGUCAGAGGUGAAAUUCUUGGAUCUACUGAAGACUAACUACUGCGAAAGCAUUUGCCAAGGAUGUUUUCAUUAAUCAGGAACGAAAGUUAGGGGAUCGAAGACGAUCAGAUACCGUCGUAGUCUUAACCAUAAACUAUGCCGACUAGGGAUCGGACGAUGUUAUUUAGUUGACUCGUUCGGCACCUUACGAGAAAUCAAAGUGCUUGGGCUCCAGGGGGAG